UAGUAUCGCCAAACUUGAAUAAAAUAUAAGCGCAAAUAAAUAAAUUAAUUAAAUAAAUACAUACAAAAAUGGUGUUUUUUCAACUUUUGGGCACCCGGCCGUCUACGUAUUUAA
rnacentral:sRNA from 1 species